GACAUUGCAAAUUGACAAUUCAAGAUUUACAAGCUAUUGUGUUGCUUCUGUAAUCUGAUUUACAAGUCAGCAGAGAAAAAUUUUGAAUUUAGAUAUUGACUUGACCAGAAGCACAACCAGGUUGUAACAGACGUGUAUCGGCUCUGUUUCUUAAUCUUAGCUUUUCAACUUUUUCAAUGAUUAUUUAAGCUCAUAGAUACCCAAUAGAUUGAAUUCAGGGAAGAUAUUUUAGGCUAAGAUCAAGUGCUUCUAUGUCCAAGCUUCAGAUAGGCAACAGAUUUCUAGUAAAUGAAGCAAAGAUUACCAUCAAGCUUGCCUAACUUCAGAUUUUAAUACCUUACUUUGACUGGCUUUUUCAUUAAUAGAAAUAUUACAGCUGAGCUUGGCUUAUUAUUAAUCAAGUCAUAUAGGAAGCCUUCAGAUUGGUCUAAAUUCUAAACGAACAAUAUUGAACAUGCUUCUUUUCAAUCUGAGUUCUGUCAUGAAUAGUCAGAGUCUUGUCUGAAGCUUUCAAAAGCACAUUUAUCUUGAUUGUAAUAAUGGACUAAAUGAAGGAAAGGUAACAAUAAUCCCAAUUUUCAACCAAAAAUUAACAACACAGAUUUAGUAUAAGUGAAUAUUCAGAUGAAUAAACAGCAAGCCUCCAGUUCAUGUAACAAAGUAUAAUUGAACAUGAAGUGAGUGCGAAACUUUUAAGGAUGUA